rnacentral:rRNA from 1 species
GUUAAUCGGAAUUACUGGGUGUAAAGGGCGCGUAGGCGGUAAGAUGUGUGUGUUGUGAAAGCCCCGGGCUUAACCUGGGAAGUGCAAUGCAAACUAUCUAACUAGAGUAUAUGAGAGGGUGGCGGAAUUUCCGGUGUAGCGGUGAAAUGCGUAGAGAUCGGAAGGAACGUCAAUGGCGAAGGCAGCCACCUGGCAUAAUACUGACGCUGAGGCGCGAAAGCGUGGGGAGCGAACAGG